rnacentral:tRNA from 1 species
AGCACUUUGGCGCAGAGAAGCGUGUUGGGCUCAUAACCCAAAGGUCUUGGAUCGGAGACCAACAAGUGGCUA